rnacentral:rRNA from 1 species
AACCUUACCUGGCCUUGACAUACUAAGAACUUUCCAGAGAUGGAUUGGUGCCUUCGGGAACUUAGAUACAGGUGCUGCAUGGCUGUCGUCAGCUCGUGUCGUGAGAUGUUGGGUUAAGUCCCGCAACGAGCGCAACCCUUUUCCUUAUUUGCCAGCGGGUAAUGCCGGGAACUUUAAGGAUACUGCCAGUGACAAACUGGAGGAAGGCGGGGACGACGUCAAGUCAUCACGGCCCUUACGGCCAGGGCUACACACGUGCUACAAUGGUCGGUACAAAGGGUUGCUACCUCGCGAGAGGAUGCUAAUCUCAAAAAGCCGAUCGUAGUCCGGAUCGCAGUCUGCAACUCGACUGCGUGAAGUCGGAAUCGCUAGUAAUCGCGGAUCAGAAUGCCGCGGUGAAUACGUUCCCGGGCCUUGUACACACCGCCCGUCACACCAUGGGAGUUUGUUGCACCAGAAGUAGGUAGUCUAACCGCAAGGAGGACGCUUACCACGGUGUGGCCGAUGACUGGGGUGAAGUCGUAACAAGGUAGGCGUACUACA